UAACCCGCACCACUUAUCGUGGUGGGAGACAGUGUCAGGCGGGCAGUUUGACUGGGGCGGUCGCCUCCUAAAAGGGAACGGAGGCGCUCAAAGGGUCCCUCAGAAUGGUUGGAAAUCAUUCAUAGAGGGUAAAGGCAUAAGGGAGCUUGACUGCGAGACCUACAAGUCGAGCAGGGUCGAAAGACGGACUUAGUGAUCCGGUGGGUCCGCAUGGAAGGGCCA
rnacentral:rRNA from 1 species